CUCGAAAGGGAUGCUAAUACCGCAUACGUCCUACGGGAGAAAGCAGGGGAUCUUCGGACCUUGCGCUAAUAGAUGAGCCUAAGUCGGAUUAGCUAGUUGGUGGGGUAAAGGCCUACCAAGGCGACGAUCUGUAGCGGGUCUGAGAGGAUGAUCCGCCACACUGGGACUGAGACACGGCCCAGACUCCUACGGGAGGCAGCAGUGGGGAAUAUUGGACAAUGGGGGGAACCCUGAUCCAGCCAUGCCGCGUGUGUGAAGAAGGCCUUAUGGUUGUAAAGCACUUUAAGCGAGGAGGAGGCUACUUUAGUUAAUACCUAGAGAUAGUGGACGUUACUCGCAGAAUAAGCACCGGCUAACUCUGUGCCAGCAGCCGCGGUAAUACAGAGGGUGCGAGCGUUAAUCGGAUUUACUGGGCGUAAAGCGUGCGUAGGCGGCUUAUUAAGUCGGAUGUGAAAAUCCCCGAGCUUAACUUGGGAAUUGCAUUCGAUACUGGUGAGCUAGAGUAUGGGGAGAGGAUGGUAGAAUUCCAGGUGUAGCGGG
rnacentral:rRNA from 1 species